GUAACGAGCGCAACCCUUGUCCUUAGUUACCAGCACGUUAUGGUGGGCACUCUAAGGAGACUGCCGGUGACAACCGAGGAAGUGGGGAUGACGUCAAGUCAUCAUGGCCCUUACGGCCUGGGCUACACACGUGCUACAAUGGUCGGUACAAAGGGUUGCCAAGCCGCGAGGUGGAGCUAAUCCCAUAAAACCGAUCGUAGUCCGGAUCGCAGUCUGCAACUCGACUGCGUGAAGUCGGAAUCGCUAGUAAUCGUGAAUCAGAAUGUCACGGUGAAUACGUUCCCGGGCCUU
rnacentral:rRNA from 1 species